UACGUAGGGUGCAAGCGUUAAUCGGAAUUACUGGGCGUAAAGCGUGCGCAGGCGGUUUUGUAAGCCAGAUGUGAAAUCCCCGGGCUUAACCUGGGAAUGGCAUUUGGGACUGCAAGGCUGGAGUGCGGCAGAGGAGACUGGAAUUCCUGGUGUAGCAGUGAAAUGCGUAGAUAUCAGGAGGAACACCGGUGGCGAAGGCAGGUCUCUGGGCCAUUACUGACACUGAGAAGCGAAAGCAUGGGGAGCGAACAGG
rnacentral:rRNA from 1 species